GGAGGCAGACAGAGAGAAAGCCUGAGGGGCUCCCUCUGCACACGCUCAGCUGUGCCCCGCAGCCCCAGCGCCUCUCCCUAGGUGAUGCAUUAUUCACCAGCCCCCUUCAGCUGAGUCAGGAGGAGCUGAGACAGGACAGCGCCGCGGCGAAAACGCAGACGAUGACAAAGCCUGCUUUACCGACGGUCCCGGGCCCUCAUGAAAAAUCUCUCCGGGGAUCACAGGAUGCUGCCGGCAGCUGGGGAGGCUCUUGCUGGGGCCGACGGGAGCCUGUGUGGCAGGGUGGCUUCUCCCUCCACCCCCUUCAGCCCUUCCAGCACCCUCGGUGCCUGCCCUCUGGAUCCUUAACAAAGAAGAACCCUGCCUCCUUCAGCGCCUGAAGCCGGGGGAGGUGCAGGUUGAGCUGGGAAGAAAUGGGGAGCAGGGUCCGGGCUGUUUCAGACCUUCAUGGAGGACCCAGGGAAAGAAGAGCCCCCAGAGGGAUUCGUGGACACAGCGUGACCUGCGGGCCCCUGGGCUGCGCCUGCCGUCCAUCAUGUCAGGAGGAGGAGAAGGAGAGCACGAGGCGUGUGUGUGUGUGUGUGUGUGUGUGUGUGUGUGUGUGUGUGUGUGUGUUUAAAGAAUGUUAAUUCAUACUGAGAUCCUAGGGAAUAUUUUCCUAACUAGGACAGACUUGGGAAUAAAUAACGUGCUUAUAUAGCUGGGUCUCCCCUCCCCUUCCUUUCUCCCACUCACUUAACACACACACACGUGUGCGCACAUAGACACACGCACACACGUGCACACACAUUGCUAGUUACUAAAGCUAGCCUGUGGGGCAAGGAAAAGCUGACCUUGAGAAAUGCAGUUUUCAAUUCCAGCUGAAGCCCACGUGAGGAGCCUGUGCCUGGCACUCCAG
rnacentral:lncRNA from 1 species